rnacentral:rRNA from 1 species
UGUGUAGGCGGUUCUUUAAGUUUGGUGUGAAAUCUCCCGGCUCAACCGGGAGGGUGCGCCGAAUACUGAGGGACUCGAGUGCGGGAGAGGAAAGUGGAAUUCCUGGUGUAGCGGUGAAAUGCGUAGAUAUCAGGAGGAACACCGGUGGUGUAGACGGCUUUCUGGACCGUAACUGACGCUGAGACACGAAAGCGUGGGUAGCAAACAGGAUUAGAUACCCUGGUAGUCCACGCCCUAAACGAUGCAUAUUUGGUGUGGGUCAUUCAGUUGAUCCGUGCCGGAGCUAACGCGUUAAAUAUGCCGCCUGGGGAGUACAGUCGCAAGGCUGA